UGGGGGAUAUUGCACAAUGGGCGAAAGCCUGAUGCAGCGACGCCGCGUGGGGGAUGAAGGCCUUCGGGUUGUAAACUUCUUUUGCUCUGAACAAGGCGCACCAUGGGGUGUGUUGAGUGUAGGGGUUGAUUAGCGCCGGCUAACUACGUCCCAGCAGCCGCGGUAAUACGUAGGGCGCGAGCGUUGUCCGGAAUUAUUGGGCGUAAAGGGCUUGUAGGUGGCUGGUUGCGUCUGUCGUGAAAGCUCAUGGCUUAACUGUGGGUUUGCGGUGGGUACGGGCUGGCUUGAGUGCAGUAGGGGAGGCUGGAAUUCCUGGUGUAGCGGUGGAAUGCGCAGAUAUCAGGAGGAAUACCGGUGGCGAAGGCGGGUCUCUGGGCUGUUACUGACACUGAGGAGCGAAAGCAUGGGGAGCGAACAGG
rnacentral:rRNA from 1 species